ACUCUAGUCUGGCACUGUGAAGAGACAUGAGAGGUGUAGAAUAAGUGGGAGACCCUCGCGGCCGCCGGUGAAAUACCACUACUCUUAUCGUUUUUCCACUUACCCGGUGAAGCGGGGCCCCCGAGAGGGCCCUCGAUUCUGGAGUCAAGCGAUAACUGGCUUGUGGCGGUUGGGUUGGGGUUUUGGUGGAGGUGCUGUGU
rnacentral:ncRNA from 1 species